GCCGUCGUGGGCCAUGGUGGCCGCCCUCCCGAAUUUAACAACGAGGUAGAGGCUGGAAUAUUAAAGAGGGAGACGGGGGGUUCGAAUCCUCCUGGCGGCA